CCCGCCGCCGCCGCCUUUGUCUGCCGCCGGCCGCGGCUCCGCCGCCGCCUCCCCGGCGAUUUUCGGGCUUGUUUUUAUCCCCUCCCUCCUGCCUUGCCAGCCCGGAGGGGGGGGGUGUGUGUAUGUCUGUGGCAUCAUCGUUAUGUUUCAGCCUUUUUACUUUUUUAAUUAUUAUUUUUUUUUCUUUUCCCCGAGGGGACGUUUUGCAGCAUCCGUAGGGCGCGGGGGGGGGGGAAGGGGGGAGGACAGCGGGACCGCUGCCGGCUCGGGGUUUUUAUUACGCUGCUGCAAAACAAAGCGGGAUGCUUGCAGAUCUCAAAACAAGCUGAGGGCUAUUUUUAAAAAUAGGACUGCUCGGCUGCAUGGAAGUAAUAAGUCGCAGCCUCGCUGAAUAGAAAUACAUGAAAACCACAGCAUUUUCCUCUCCUAACUUUUAAACCCACAUAAUACAUGUUUGUUCACUGCAGAUGAACUAAUCUCGCUAUUGUGUUGCCACGGAUCAGCUGGCUUGCACUUCACAUUUUCUGCAGGUCACUGCAGUCAUUGCCUUUUGUUGUUUUGGGAUGGGGGAGUGCAAAAGGAAGGGGGGGGCAGAGGGAGCAUGAUCGGACACGGUGCCAAGACUGGGCUUGGAGCACCAUCAUCGGAGGCUUGGUGCCGCGGUGAGCUUCUCUGCAAGCAAGGAGGGAAGAUAAGUACCCAAGAUGCCCUUUGCCCUUUGCUCCUCUGCACUGUUUUCCCCAUGUCUGUGGCCAUUGCCAACCACAUCUUAAGCCCCACUCCCAAGGAGUGGCAGGGCCCAGUGGUGCCCCCUGUUUGGGACCCGUGGUGUCCCCAGUUUGGGACCCAUGAGGCCAGGGAGGGGUCUUUCAGCACCCAGGCUUUGAAAUGUCACAGCAAGCUUGGUCUCCCAACAUCAUUUCUGAUGUCUGUGGGGGCAGGAGGGCUCUCAGGCAGAGCUCUGUAGGUCUAUAGCUUUGCAGUGGUGAGAAGAUUACACCACAAACAUGUUCAGGGUGCAGGUCCUCUGGGCACGCUUUGGUUUGUGGGUCAUGCCCCAGGUCACUCACUUCACAGCUCGGUAGCACAGGUGCUUUAGAACAGGUGAAGGCAUUUAUCCUUUUUAAGAUAGCUGUUUGGGUGUGUCUCAACAGGUAGUCUUGGUUUCUUGUGUGAGGCAGACUGAUGUGGAAGUACCACCACAGUGUCCUUCCUGAAGUGGCCCCCAGGAGGUCUCCUGGCCCAAGGGAUGUCACCCAAGCAGCUCCCAAGAAGGCCCUUGUGGUGGCUCCGUGUCUGAAUGGGUGGUAGCUUCCUCGGUUUUAUGCAUUCCUGUGACAGAGGCUGAGCGAGCAAACUUCCCUGCUAUUUGCAAGAUGUGGGCGUGCGCUCUGAAAACCUUCGUCUCGGGCCUUCCAAAGCAUUUUCGGAGGUGAAUGCUACAUCGAUGCUGGCAGUUGUGCAUGACUGCUGAAGGAGAUCGCUCAUGGCCUCAGCUCCUGCAGGAAGUACCUGAUCCAAAAAAACAAGCCCAGGAAGAGCAGGAGGCACAUCAGGAGUAUCCUCAGAUGGAUCCCAGCCACAUCUAAAGGAAACAAAACCUACAUUAAAAAAAAUAAUAAUAAUAAAAUUAAAAAAAAAAAAUCCCAGCCCUGGAAGAUGCAGCCUGACCGUGCCCGGGCUGGCCCCGAUGCACGGGGCAAUGGUGCCCUCUAAUGUCGGCCGGCCCGGCAGAGCCGCCCGCUGCCCCCCGGCGAUGCCAGGUGCCCGGGUGGGCUCUGGAAGGGGCUGCGGGUCUUAAAUCCGUCAGGAGUGUGGGGAACUGCCAGGGUACCAAAAUGCAUGGCAGCCAAAUUCACCCGCAUCUAGGUUUCGCAGGUUUUUCCGAGCCCGUUUGACUCCUUGGCAAGACCUCUGGAUGGGAGACUGCCUUCAGCUCAAGCUGUGAAAAUGAGGUUAAGGUGCACAUCGUCCAGCUCCCCAGGCUGGGUUCCCUCUUGUUUGCCGCUCCCUCAGAUCCCUGUGAUGGGUUGUGAGAUAGCCUGCAAUGACGCAGCGAGCUUUACAUUUGUGUUCAGCAUAGUAACUUUCUGAAGACACGGCACUGAAGCUUUCCCUAAUCUCAAGAAGUGAUCGUUUUGUAAUCUGCCUCGUGGAUUCCUGGUGUUAACGUUGCUGCAGGCUCUGAACAAGGACCAAGUACAACACAGCCGGCGGUGAACCUGCAAGGGAGUGGGUUGGUGGGCUCCCGGGGGGAGUCCAUCACAUUCCUCCUGCAGCCAGUCUAACUGUACGGAGGCUGCCCUGCCCGCAGUACGGCUUUCACUUGGAGGAGUAGGUUGGUGGCUGAUCUCCAGAUUUGGCCAGCACCCCUUCUCUUUAGGAGCAGCUGACUGAAACUCAAGGGCUCUCCAUUCCCCCAGGAGAGAUUUGGGGGCAGAGAUGGGCCAUGGCAGCACCUGGGAGAAGACUGUCCCAGCAAGGUCCUGCUGGAGCUGGUAAGACUGGAUGGGUGCAAAGAGCUGAGAGUUUUCAUCCUAUUUGGUCAUGUUAUUCUUGGUGUGACUCUCCUGAAUUCAGGCUGUGGUAUUUUUUCCAAAACCCUUCUACAGUUGACAAAGUCUUUACCCCAUGCGCUUGUUUGGAGGUCAGAUUCCAGCAUUCAGAAAUGUUCUCUUCUGGUUUAAUUUAUCCAGAGUAUGAGAGAGGCAGUUUCUACUGCCCUGUGGUUAAGCAGCAGGACUGGCGUCCAAAGGAUGAUCAAAUCUGAUUCCAGCCUCUUCCACAGACUUCCUCUGAUUUCAGACCAGCCAUCACACCCUGCUGGCUGUUAGUAUCCCAUCUGCAAGGCAAGGAGGAUCCAAUUCUUUUCCCUCAUCCAAGUCUGGAGCUCUUUUUGUGUUUGCAAGGCACCAGACGGGGCCUUGGUAUUAGAUGGAGCUUUGGGACUUUACCAUUAAAAAGUCAGUAAUAACCAGCCCUAUUUCAGAUAAAAUGUGAUUUGCAGUUUAAUACGCUAAGUAACAAAGACUUUACCAAAAGAAUGAACAAUGGGCUUUUUCCAUUUCACAAAAUAAUUUGCCAGGCAGAAUAAGCACACCAGCAUUUUUAUAAAAACAAAUUAUAAAUAAUUGCUUUUUGCAAUUUAAUACACACAUAGAAAGAGCCAAAGGAGUUCUGCAGCCACUGGGAAUCUGAUUUCAUUGCCGAUUUGGACUGUCUCCGUAGUUUUUAUGAAAAUCCCUGAAGACUGUGCUAUUUUGUAAACUAAACAUGGCCUUUUUUUUUUUU